UCCCCCUUUGAAGAAAAACACCUCCUGCAAUUUGAAAGCUUGCUCCUACUUGCACCUAAACCACUCCUUGCUGUGACUGUUUUCUAUUUCCAUGGGGCUUUGUAUGAAAGGGAGCAUUCAAAAAUGGAAGCAUUCAAAAAUAAUAUCUCCCACCUGAAGUCUGAAGUAGUCCAGUCCAUUCUAUUUGCUCAGAACUUCCCUAUCUCUUUCUGCUGUGUAUGUAAAACAGACCUUAGGCAGCAGAAUAAAGUGGUAAAAUCUUGAGGGACCUGAGGGCAGAGUGGAGUGGAUCAUGCCAGACACUUAUUAUGGUCCAAACUUGAAAAAACUACAAGAGACAAGAGACUGUUAUUCCUGUUGAUGCAGCUCUAUUCCACAUCUUCAUUACAGGCAAAGAAGAAGAGUUUCAAGCUAUAUGGUGAACAUUUAAUGAAUUGUAUGUGCUUUAGAAGAGCCAAGAUGUUAGCAGUGCCAAAGGAGGUCCCAGCAAGAUGCACUAUGAACACUGGGAAGGAGCGAUAAUGGUGGACUGUGAAUCUUCUGCAGGGAGAUUGCAUCCCUUUUUAAGUUCUCUACUCUAACGUUGUGGGAUAGUGGCUAAAGCAGUGGACUUCAGCUUGCACAGUGGUAGUGCAUCUGCUUUGCAUGCGGAAGGUCCCAGGUUCAAUCCCUUGGAUUUCCAAUUAGGACAGGGAAAGACUCCUGUGUGAAACCUUGGAGCGCUGCUGCCAGUCAACGUAGACGAUGCUGAGCAAGGUGGACGGAUCUAGAUAGAUCUUUCAUGUACAAAGAUGGUGCACCUCUGGUCACCAGAUCUUAGAGCCAAACAAGAGGGGAUGGUCAUCAAUUGUACUGACCGUUGACCUUUUAUGAAAAGUGGUGAAUAAAUUUAAUAGAUGGUAAGAAUUCAUAAUAGCAGCCUGCCAAGUUGCUUGUGACGUUUCCAAAUUAAUCAAGUGAUUCCUCCCCCCACCCCCAUAUGGGUACAGCUUCACCUUCUUACAAGAUACUUUAUUUGUGAGAUAUUUAUUUAUUUAUUUAUUUAUUUAUUUAUUUAUUUAUUUAAUUUUUAUACUGCCCUAGCCAAAGGCUCUUCUUAACAGAGAUUGAUUGUAUCUUCAGCUUUUGAGUGUUUUUUUUCAGUAGAUCUUUGGAUUUCAUUCAUUUGAUUGAUUGAUUGAUUGAUAUACCACCUUCCAAAAAUGGCUCAGGGCAUUUUACUAUGGAUGAAAAUGGCGAUAUAAGCUGAAAAACAGUAUUUCAGACUAUGUUCUAAUUAUCUAAUUCUAGAAUCAACAUGUGUGUACACACACACACACACACACACACACACACACGCUUAUUCUUUUGAUUUUGUGUGUGUGUAAUCCCCUGAUGAAGAGCAUCAGAUCAAAAUGUGUUAUGAUUCCUCAGUAAAAAAAAUCCCAUAAGGAAGUUUCUUAAUUUCAUAUAUUCUUUGAAACAGUUGAUCUUUUUGAUCUUUUUUUCCAUUUCCAAAUGAUGCUUUCAUACAUUAUCCCACUUGACAAAACCCUGAUUUUUUUUUUUUCAAAUCCUCAAGAGAUCUGAGAGCCUAACUAGAUGUCCCAGGGAAUGAAUGGCUGCCACCAACCAAUGACUUUCCGAUGCAUCUCCCUAUCAUAUUUAAUAGAACAAAUCAGCCAGCACAGUGUAGUGGUUAAAGUGUUGGACUAGGACCGUGGAGACCCAGUUUCAAAUCGUCAUUCAGCCAUAGGAACAUAGGCAGCUGCCAUUUGCUAUGUUAGACCAUAGCUCCAUCUAGCUCAGUAUUGUCUACACAGAUUGGCUGCGGCUUCUCUAAGGCAGGGGUGUGCAUGGA